rnacentral:rRNA from 1 species
UACGUAGGGUGCGAGCGUUAAUCGGAAUUACUGGGCGUAAAGCGUGCGCAGGCGGUUUUGUAAGCCAGAUGUGAAAUCCCCGGGCUUAACCUGGGAAUGGCAUUUGGGACUGCAAGGCUUGAGUGCGGCAGAGGAGACUGGAAUUCCUGGUGUAGCAGUGAAAUGCGUAGAGAUCAUGAGGAAGACCAGUGGCGAAGGCGGGUCUCUGGACAGUUCCUGACACUGAGACACGAAGGCCAGGGGAGCAAACGGG